UACGGGGGGAGCAAGCGUUGUUCGGAUUUACUGGGCGUAAAGGGCGCGUAGGCGGCCACCGCAAGUCAGUUGUGAAAUCUCUGGGCUUAACCCAGAAAGGUCAACUGAUACUGCGGGGCUAGAGUGCAGAAGGGGCAACUGGAAUUCUCGGUGUAGCGGUGAAAUGCGUAGAUAUCGAGAGGAACAACCUGCGGCGAAGGCGGGAUAGCUGGGCCGACACUGACGCUGAUGCGCGAAAGCCAGGGAGCGAAGCGGG
rnacentral:rRNA from 1 species